CUAGCCGUAAACGAUGGAUACUAGGCGUAGCUUGUAUCGACCCAAGCUGUGCCGUAGCUAACACGUUAAGUAUCCCGCCUGGGGAGUACGCGCGCAAGCGUGAAACUCAAAGGAAUUGACGGGGGCCCGCACAAGCGGUGGAGUAUGUGGUUUAAUUCGAUGCAACGCGAAGAACCUUACCAGGACUUGACAUGUCGCGAACCCUCUUGAAAGAGAGGGGUGCCUUCGGGAGCGCGAACACAGGUGGUGC
rnacentral:rRNA from 1 species